rnacentral:rRNA from 1 species
UACGGAGGGUGCAAGCGUUAUCCGGAUUCACUGGGUUUAAAGGGUGCGUAGGCGGGCAGGUAAGUCCGUGGUGAAAUCUCUGAGCUUAACUCAGAAACUGCCAUGGAUACUAUUUGUCUUGAAUAUUGUGGAGGUAAGCGGAAUAUGUCAUGUAGCGGUGAAAUGCUUAGAUAUGACAUAGAACACCAAUUGCGAAGGCAGCUGGCUACACGAAUAUUGACACUGAUGCCCGAAAGCGCGGGGAUCAAACAGG